AUUGAACGCUGGCGGCAUGCUUUACACAUGCAAGUCGAACGGUAACAGGCCUUCGGGUGCUGACGAGUGGCGAACGGGUGAGUAAUGCAUCGGAACGUGCCCAGAGGUGGGGGAUAACGCAGCGAAAGCUGUGCUAAUACCGCAUGUGAUCUGAGGAUGAAAGCGGGGGACCAGGCAGCAAUGUUUGGCCUCGCGCCUUUGGAGCGGCCGAUGUCAGAUUAGGUAGUUGGGGGGGUAAAGGCCUACCAAGCCGACGAUCUGUAGCUGGUCUGAGAGGACGACAACCCAGAUGGGAGAGAAGACCCGGCCAACACUCCAGGGGGAGACAGAGGGGGGGAUUUUGGAAAAGGGGGGCAAGCCUGAACCCAAAAUGGCGGGGGGGGGAAGAAGGCCCUGGGGUUGUAAACCGGUUUUUGACGGAAAAAAAAAGCUUCGGGAAAACCCGGGGGGCGGACGGGGGACCGAAAAAAAAAGCCCCCGCAAACCACG
rnacentral:rRNA from 1 species